rnacentral:ncRNA from 1 species
GUAAAACCUCAUACAACAACUCGUAUAAUUUUGGGAAUAUGGCCCAUAAGUUUCUACCGGCCGACCACUAUAAUCGGCCGACUAUGAGUGAAAGCGCAUCUAGG